GUGAAAUUGAACUCGCUGUGAAGAUGCAGUGUACCCGCGGCAAGACGGAAAGACCCCGUGAACCUUUACUAUAGCUUGACACUGAACAUUGAGCCUUGAUGUGUAGGAUAGGUGGGAGGCUUUGAAGCGUGGACGCCAGUCUGCGUGGAGCCGACCUUGAAAUACCACCCUUUAAUGUUUGAUGUUCUAACGUGGACCCGUAAUCCGGGUUGCGGACAGUGUCUGGUGGGUAGUUUGACUGGGGCGGUCUCCUCCUAAAGAGUAACGGAGGAGCACGAAGGUUGGCUAAUCCUGGUCGGACAUCAGGAGGUUAGUGCAAUGGCAUAAGCCAGCUUGACUGCGAGCGUGACGGCGCGAGCAGGUGCGAAAGCAGGUCAUAGUGAUCCGGUGGUUCUGAAUGGAAGGGCCAUCGCUCAACGGAUAAAAGGUACUCCGGGGAUAACAGGCUGAUACCGCCCAAGAGUUCAUAUCGACGGCGGUGUUUGGCACCUCGAUGUCGGCUCAUCACAUCCUGGGGCUGAAGUAGGUCCCAAGGGUAUGGCUGUUCGCCAUUUAAAGUGGUACGCGAGCUGGGUUUAGAACGUCGUGAGACAGUUCGGUCCCUAUCUGCCGUGGGCGCUGGAGAACUGAGGGGGGCUGCUCCUAGUACGAGAGGACCGGAGUGGACGCAUCACUGGUGUUCGGGUUGUCAUGCCAAUGGCACUGCCCGGUAGCUAAAUGCGGAAGAGAUAAGUGCUGAAAGCAUCUAAGCACGAAACUUGCCCCGAGAUGAGUUCUCCCUGAGACUUUAGGUCUCCUGAAGGAACGUUGAAGACGACGACGUUGAUAGGCCGGGUGUGUAAGCGCAGCGAUGCGUUGAGCUAACCGGUACUAAUGAACCGUGAGGCUUAACCUUACAACGCCGAAG
rnacentral:rRNA from 1 species